GUCCAGGGCAGGCAGUGGGGACUGGAGAACUUGGCCGGGCCCUGCAGUGUAAUUGUCUGGGACGGUUCUGCCCAUGUUACAGACUCAGUGCAAUCUUGAGGCUUGGCCCACUUCUGGGCUCCUGGAAGAAAGGCCCCCAGGGCAGAGAUUUCUCUUGGAGGAAGCCUGGAGUUUAAGGACGGAAGGAAUGAGUUGUCCCUGAAGUGGGGCAGGUCUGCUUCAAUAUCAAAUUCUCCAGGUCCUGCCCACCCUGCCUAGAGUGGGUCACCCCCUGUAAUGUGUCUCUGGCCCUUUGAGUUUCCCGCAAGACUCUAAUCCUGUGAAAAUAACACCUGGCGUGUGAAGCACUUGCUGCAGCAUGCAGGAGCAGGCGGCGUCCUGGGGGCUGUGUGAGCCGCUCUCUCAACCACUGUCCUGGGCGACCGGCUCCAGCACGCACUCUGAAGCUUGGGAGCUAUCCUUUCUCCACUUGUUAGCCGAGUGACCUUGGGCACGUCACCUUUCCAGUCAUCUCUCGAGGCAGGCGUCCAGGCUGUCUCACAGGGCUGGAGGGCUUGCAGUGAUGUGUCGCCUGACGCCCUGGCAGGAGGAGGGGCUGGUGCUGGACCGCAAGAGCAGCCCCCCGAGGGCCCCCAGCUAGCCUUUGUGGGCCUUAGACCUGCCUCCUGGGGUCGUUGGGUUAGUGUUGCGCACACGUGUCCGGUCUGUUGGCUUCUGGAGAACAAGCAUGUGUGAGAAGUGAGCAGCGCUCCGCCUGCCAUGGGGUGGGUGAGCAGUGAAUGCGAGAAAAGGCUGCCUUAAGCGUCUCCAGAGACUUGUCUUGAGUUUUGUGUUGAUACCUC